rnacentral:rRNA from 1 species
AACCAACUGGGAUUAUCUUAGUAACGGCGAGUGAAGCGGUAAAAGCCCAAAUUUGAAAUCUGGUACUUUCAGUGCCCGAGUUGUAAUUUGUAGAAUUUGUCUUUGAUUAGGUCCUUGUCUAUGUUCCUUGGAACAGGACGUCAUAGAGGGUGAGAAUCCCGUUUGGCGAGGAUACCUUUUCUCUGUAAGACUUUUUCGAAGAGUCGAGUUGUUUGGGAAUGCAGCUCAAAGUGGGUGGUAAAUUCCAUCUAAAGCUAAAUAUUGGCGAGAGACCGAUAGCGAACAAGUACAGUGAUGGAAAGAUGAAAAGAACUUUGAAAAGAGAGUGAAAAAAGUACGUGAAAUUGUUGAAAGGGAAGGGCAUUUGAUCAGACAUGGUGUUUUUUGCAUGCACUCGCCUCUCGUGGGCUUGGGCCUCUCAAAAAUUUCACUGGGCCAACAUCAAUUCUGGCAGCAGGAUAAAUCAUUAAGAAUGUAGCUACUUCGGUAGUGUUAUAGCUUUUUGGAAUACUGUUAGCCGGGAUU